GUGUCAGCAGCCGCGGUAAUACAGGGGGUGCAAGCGUUACUCGGAAUUAUUGGGCGUAAAGAGCGCGUAGGCGGCUUGGUAAGUCUAAUGUGAAAGCCCCGGACUCAAUUCGGGAAGUGCAUUGGAUACUGCUGAGCUGGAGUACUGGAGAGGAGAGUGGAAUUCCAGGUGUAGAGGUGAAAUUCGUAGAUAUCUGGAGGAACAACAGAGGCGAAGGCGGCUCUCUGGACAGUAACUGACGCUGAGGCGCGAAAGCGUGGGGAGCAAACAGGAUUAGAUACCCUGGUAGUCC
rnacentral:rRNA from 1 species